UACGAAGGGGGCUAGCGUUGCUCGGAAUCACUUGGGCGUAAAGGGUGCGUAGGCGGGUUUUUAAGUCAGAGGUGAAAUCCUGGAGCUCAACUCCAGAACUGCCUUUGAUACUGGGAAUCUUGAGUAUGGAAGAGGUGAGUGGAACUGCGAGUGUAGAGGUGAAAUUCGUAGAUAUUCGCAAGAACACCAGUGGCGAAGGCGGCUCACUGGUCCAUAACUGACGCUGAGGCACGAAAGCGUGGGGAGC
rnacentral:rRNA from 1 species